GACGAACGCUGGCGGCGUGCUUAACACAUGCAAGUCGAACGAAGUGGCGAACGGGUGAGUAACGAGUAAUCAACCUGCCCUUCAGAGGGGGACAACAGUUGGAAACGACUGCUAAUACCGCAUACUGAAGGAGGGGAUUGCGUCUGAUUAGCUAGUUGGAGGGGUAACGGCCCAACAAGGCGAUGAUCAGUAGCCGGUCUGGGAGGGUGAACGGCCACAUUGGGACUGGGACACGGGCCAGACUUCUACGGGAGGCAGCAGGGGGGAAUCUUCCGCAAUGGACCAAAGUCUGACGGGGGAACGGCGCGUGAGUGAUGACGGCCUUCGGGUUGGAAAGCUCUGUUAAUCGGGACGCGGUACCGGAAUAGAAAGCCACGGCUAACUACGUGCCAGCAGCCGCGGUAAUAC
rnacentral:rRNA from 1 species